UCGAUUAGAGUUUGAUCCUGGCUCAGGAUGAACGCUGGCGGCGUGCCUAACACAUGCAAGUCGAGCGGGAAUCCCCUUUUCGAAGGCGAGGUAUUCAUACCAAGCCCAAGAUGUGGGGAGGAGAGCGGCGGACGGGUGAGUAACGCGUAGGCAACCUGCCCAUAGCUCGGGGAUAGCCACGGGAAACCGUGAUUAAUACCCGAUGACGCGAAGGGGCCACAUGGCUUCUUCGCCAAAGAUUCAUCGGCUAUGGAUGGGCCUGCGUCUGAUUAGGUUGUUGGCGGGGUAACGGCCCACCAAGCCUACGAUCAGUAGCCGACCUGAGAGGGUAACCGGCCACAUUGGAACUGAGACACGGUCCAAACUCCUACGGGAGGCAGCAGUGGGGAAUAUUGCACAAUGGGCGAAAGCCUGAUGCAGCAACGCCGCGUGAGCGAAGAAGGCCCUAUGGGUCGUAAAGCUCUGAUCUGGUGGAAGAUGAUGACGGUACACCAGGAGAAAGCCCCGGCUAACUACGUGCCAGCAGCCGCGGUAAUACGUAGGGGGCAAGCGUUAUCCGGAAUUAUUGGGCGUAAAGAGUGCGUAGGUGGUUUGCUAAGCGAAGGGUGAAAGGCACUGGCUCAACCAAUGUCAGCCCUUCGAACUGGCUGGCUUGAGUGCAGGAGGGGAAAGCGGAACUCCAGGUGUAGCGGUGAAAUGCGUAGAUAUCUGGAAGAACACCGGUGGCGAAAGCGGCUUUCUGGACUGUAACUGACACUGAGGCACGAAAGCGUGGGGAGCAAA
rnacentral:rRNA from 1 species